rnacentral:lncRNA from 10 species
CACGGGGACAGGAGAUGCACACACUUCUCUGGUCCUUGACAAAUGAACAAGUGAACGCCUCAAUGGUAACAUCACUAUUGUAGAACCUGUGCCUGGCCUUUGGAGAUGUCUUUUCAGACUGUAAAAAGUGAAGUAGAGGUUCCUCUUCAAAGAGACUCUCCUCCCCAUCUGAUGAAGAACAAGUAGUAACUUCUCUUAGAAGCGAAAUUUAUACAAGACCUGUGCUAACAUUCUUAAAUAUCUGCCAGCCAUAAUAAAGAAAUCAAUAUACUUUGUGCUCUUAGCUCCCACAAUUUAGCCUAAAUAUUUGCCCUGGCAUGCUUAUACUGCUCCAAGCAAGCAUUAUGUCAUGGCCUGUUCCUCUUCCUUAUUUGGAGGUAUUUUUACCUUUCUCAGCAUUCCACAAGUUACUUCCUCCUUCCUUUGUUCUCCUCUGCCUUUGCCUCUUUUGAAAAGUUCUAAGUUGCUAGCCAAUUGGGACAAAUACAAAAUGUGAGGUCCCAUUCCAAGCAAUGGAAACCAG